UACGGAGGGUGCGAGCGUUGUUCGGAAUUACUGGGCGUAAAGGGCUCGUAGGCGGCCAACUAAGUCAGACGUGAAAUCCCUCAGCUUAACUGGGGAACUGCGUCUGAUACUGGAUGGCUUGGAUUCGGGAGAGGAAUGCGGAAUUCCAGGUGUAGCGGUGAAAUGCGUAGAUAUCUGGGGGAACACCGGUGGCGAAGGCGGCAUCCUGGACCAAUUCUGACGCUGAGGAGCGAAAGCCGGGGGAGCGAACAGG
rnacentral:rRNA from 1 species